CCCAUAAUAGAUCUUGUGAAUAUAAAUUAGAAUUAUCAAGUUAUUACUUGAAAUCCAGGCAGGGAAUUAUGUAGAAGUCAUUUAUUAAUUUUGUGCAUUAAGGUGUGGUCUGAUUGACUGAUUAACAUAAUUAAAUGUUAAUAUCGUGCCUCCUUGAUAUCAUGGAAUGGGUUACUUGAGAUGAUUGUGGAAGGAUGUUGAAUAUGAUUGUUAUUAAUAUGAUUAGAGCAGUGAUCAAUGCGACUAAAGGAUACUAUUGUGUUGUGUUGAUUCUUUGAUAUAUUACAUGAUAUGAAUAGCGAUUUUAUGUUGAAACAUAAUGAUUUAUAUGAUGGAUGAAAUAGAAACCUUGAUUGUCAUGCGGGUUGUUAUGUAGUUUGAAUCGAAUAAUUCAUGCUUGUCAAGUCCAAAUGUUUGAUUGAGGAAUGUUAUGCAUUUUGGCUUGAACAGACUGUGUUAUAUGUCGAGUUAUAGUGAAGUUGAACUACGAAUGGCUU
rnacentral:lncRNA from 1 species